rnacentral:rRNA from 1 species
UACAGGGGGUGCAAACGUUGCUCGGAAUUAUUGGGCGUAAAGCGCGCGUAGGCGGCCGCUUAAGUCGGAUGUGAAAGCCCCUGGCUCAACUGGGGAAGUGCACCCGAAACUGAGUGGCUUGAGUACUAAAGAGGGUCGCGGAAUUCCCGGUGUAGAGGUGAAAUUCGCAGAUAUCAGGAGGAACACCAAUGGCAAAGGCAGCUCGCUGGAACGGUACUGACGCUGAGGCGCGAAAGCGUGGGGAGCGAACAGG